UACGUAGGUGGCAAGCGUUGUCCGGAUUUACUGGGCGUAAAGAGCGCGCAGGCGGCUGAUUAAGUCGAAUGUGAAAGCCCCCGGCUCAACUGGGGAGGGUCACGCGAUACUGAUCGACUCGAAGGCAGGAGAGGGUAGUGGAAUUCCCGGUGUAGUGGUGAAAUGCGUAGAUAUCGGGAGGAACACCAGUGGCGAAGGCGACUACCUGGCCUGUUCUUGACGCUGAGGCGCGAAAGCUAGGGAGCAACGGG
rnacentral:rRNA from 1 species